AAUUGAAUGGCCGCAGUAUUUUGACUGUGCAAAGGUAGCAUAAUCAUUAGUUUCUUAAUUAGAAACUGGUAUGAAUGGUUGGACGAGAAAAUAACUGUCUCUUUUUAAAUUUUUUAGAAUUUUAUUUUUAAGUUAAAAAGCUUAAAUAUAUUUAAAAGACGAGAAGACCCUAUAGAGUUUUAUAUAAUUUAAUUUAAUAAUUUAAUUAGUAUUAUUAAAAUUUUAUAUUAAUUUAUAUUUGGUUGGGGUGAUUAAAAAAUUUAAUAAACUUUUUUUUUAUAGAAACAUUAAUUUAUGAGUUAUUGAUCCAUUAAUUAUGAUUAUAAGAUUAAAUUACCUUAGGGAUAACAGCGUAAUUUCUUUGAAGAGUUCUAAUCGAUAAAGAAGUUUGCGACCUCGAUGUUGGAUUAAAAUUAAAUUUUGGUGUAGAAGCUAAAAUUUUAGGUCUGUUCGACCUUUGGAAUUUUACAUGAUCUGAGUUUAAACCGGUGUAAGCCAGGUUGGUUUCUAUCUUUAAAUUUAAUUAUAUUCUUUAGUACGAAAGGACCAAGUAUUUAUAAUAGUUAU
rnacentral:rRNA from 1 species